rnacentral:rRNA from 1 species
UGUGGAAUCUUGCACAAUGGGGGAAACCCUGAUGCAGCGACGCCGCGUGAGCGAUGAAGGUUUUCGAAUCGUAAAGCUCUGUCCUAUGGGAAGAUAAUGAUGGCACCAUAGGAGGAAGCCCCGGCUAACUACGUGCCAGCAGCCGCGGUAAUACGUAGGGGGCGAGCGUCGUCCGGAAUUACUGGGCGGAAAGGGUUCGCAGGCGGCAUGACAAGUCCGAUGUAAAAGGCGAAAGCUCAACUUUCGUAAGCAUCGGAAACUGUCAAGCUUGGGUGAAGGGGAGGCAAGUGGAAUUCCUAGUGUGGCGGUGGAAUGCGUAGAUAUUAGGAGGAAUACCGAUGGCGAAGGCGACGUGCUGGACUUCAACUGACGCUGAGGAACGAAAGCGUAGGUAGCAAACAGG